ACAAAGCACCAUUGGAUUCACAUAAAUCUACCUAAUUGCCGUGCCAUUGAUUAUUUCUAACAAGCAACUGAACCGUUGCAGAAGAUCUGAUGCUUCAUUAUAACAUUUGAUAAUUGAAUAUGCAUCUUUCAGUGUCGUCCCCUUCACCGUUUCACUUUUAAUUUUUUAGCAUAUCAAUUAGUCUCUUUCAGAUGUAUUUUCUCGUAUAUACUUGUUGUUUGGAAAUUAGUUUUCAGAAGCUACACGAGGUGGGUUAACUAGAGAAAUUAGUUUGUUCAUAUUCUAAGACAAAUCUAACGAUCCAAUUCUUAAUGUCUUGAACUUAGGAGUAUCUUGUUGAGCUGCGAUAUGAAUGAAAAUGGAAAGCAAUCGAGUUCAAAUCCUCACUGGCUUUUCAAAUCUGAUGAGGAACAAAAGUAUGAGAAAACACAUGAAGACUCUCUGCGUAAGAUUUCCAAUAGGAACAACCCCAAUUUGACCCAAUUUAGCAUGCAUUGUGUAUUUUGAGAUUUCAAGAAUGACCUUAUCAUCUUCCAACGAACUCAAGAAAGAAUGAAAUCUGUAGCAGAAAACAUAGGGCUGAGAUCUCUCCAAGAUACAUGUUUAUGGCUGUCUGAGUCUCCAAUUCCUGCCACAAGACUCUUUCUUUUCUGAGUAAAGGAGCAUCUUGUUGAGCUGAGGUAUGCACGGGAAGUAAAAGCACUCAAGUAAACGUCCAUAUUAAAAAGCUAUUAGAAGAAGCAGGCUUUUCAAAAUUUGAUCUGGAACAAUUGAAGGUUUCUUUCAUGUCACAGCCCGAGGAGAGUUUACCGUUGUAUAUAGAUUUUUGUUUUUCUACAAACAAAUUGUGCAAACAAAGGGGAAGGAAAUCUUCUCCAGGUGGCGAUCUAGCAACAGACCAGCAUUUGGACAAUGUGGUGAAGACGUCAUUUAUGAUUAGGUAAUCUUUCAUCAUAAAAUUCCUUUCUGUAGGUAAUAACUUGAAAACGUCAUUUAUGAAUUUAAUUUGAGAUGGAUGAAAAUGUGUACAUACUUGUUGGUUGGAAAUUAGUUUUCAGAAGCUACAUGGGUUGGGGUUAACUAGAGAAAUUAGUUUGUUCAUAUUCUAAGAUGAAUCCAAUGAUCCAAUUCUUAAUGUCUUGAACUUGGGAGUAUCUUAUUGAGCUGAGAUAUGCAUGAAAAUGGAAAGCAAUCGAGUUGAAAUGCUCAUUGUGCAAUCGAGUUGAAAUCCUCAUUGUAUAGCUAUUAGACCUGGCUUUUCAAAAUCGGACGAGGAACAAAAACACAUGAAGACUCUCUGCGUAAGAUUCCCAAUAGGAACUACCCCAACUUGACCCAAUUUGGCAUGCAUUGUGUAUUUUGAGAUUUCAAGGUAACUGCUGCUAAUGGAAGAAAACCAAAGCCUAUUGCAUGCUCUUUUAAGGUAGAAUGACCUUAUCAUCUUCCAACAAACUCAAGAAAUGCAUGCUCGGGUGAGUUGAAGUUGAAGAUUUCGAGAAGGAAUGAAAGCUGUAGCAGAAAACAUAGGGCUGAGAUCUCUGCUCCACUCUCUCACAAAAGAAAAAAUGACCUUAUCAUCUUCCAACAAACUCGAGAAAUGCAUGCUCUGAUGUGUUGAAGUUGAAGAUUUCGAGAAAGAAUGAAAGCUGUAGCAGAAAACAUAGGGCUCAGAUCUCUCCAAGAUGAUUUUGGGGAGGUUUGCCAAUUGACCUUAGUGAAAUCAUAAAAGAAAAAUAGUUCAUUUGUGUUUGGAGGGGCGGCCUACAUCUGAUCUGACCACAUUGGAAAGCUCUCUUUGUGUUGAUGAAGAAUUCUUCUUCUCAAACAAGAUAAAACUGAUGUUAAACCAUGGGGGCCACGUCUUCGUUUGGUUUUCUUGCAAGAAACUGAUGAUAAACUGAUGUUAGUGCUCGUAUUGUUGAAGUUCAAUUUCCUCUUGUCCCACAUUGAAAGAUUAUAGCUUUGUCUGUGAUUUCUUCAAGGACAGCCAGUCUGAUACUGAUUGUUGUUUCCAACAAAAGCUUUGUCUCUACACAUUAUAGCUUAUUUGUCGAAUGUUACAUAUAUUCAAUGUUUCCAUACAUUUCAAGAAUUUUUGACAAGCAAACGGUCAUUCAUUGAAGUUCAAUAUGAAAUCUUCUGAGGUUGUCUAUGCUA